GCAGAACAGUAGGAAAAACUUAUACUCACAUGAUAGAGGUACAAAUAAGUUUCGCCAUAGAAAGGAGUCAGUGCCAGAACUACUGAAACAUGAAUAUCUUCUGCAGACAGUUGUCUGUGCUCCAAACCAGCUGGAUACAAGGUAGUUCUUGUUCGAAAGUCAUGUGGCAGAGUUACUGGAAACGUGAGCUGUAGCUACUGCAUCCUUCUUCUUGGUUCAGCAAAAAGCAAGAUGGAAAGUCAAAGCUACUGGUUAUGCUGUAGAGUUUCAUGCUGUAAUCUUAUUUUCCAUGUAGGAAAGGAUGCUUAGUUUUGAGUACUUAGGGCCACUGCACAUGGGGUGGGCAGGUUUGUGAUGAAAAUUUAUUUCGUAUGAUGUAUAAAUGUUGGCAUGGUUCAAUAUGUGAGCAUCUGUAGUACGAGUAGGUAAAUACUUGUGUGUGUGUGUAUACAUAAAAAAAUUCUUCUUUUAUUAAGCGUGAACUUACCUUUGCUGUAAUAUCAGUGAAAUUUGAACAUGCUUAUAAAUACUAAGAAUAAAAACAGUCAUUGAAAAUAUUUGCUUC
rnacentral:lncRNA from 1 species